rnacentral:rRNA from 1 species
UACGAAGGGGGCCAGCGUUGCUCGGAAUCACUGGGCGUAAAGGGUGCGUAGGCGGGUCUUUAAGUCAGGGGUGAAAUCCUGGAGCUCAACUCCAGAACUGCCUUUGAUACUGAGGGUCUUGAGUUCGGGAGAGGUGAGUGGAACUGCGAGUGUAGAGGUGAAAUUCGUAGAUAUUCGCAAGAACACCAGUGGCGAAGGCGGCUCACUGGCCCGAUACUGACGCUGAGGCACGAAAGCGUGGGGAGCAAACAGG